AAAAUAUUUAAUUUUUGGCUGCAUUGAUUAUCCUUAUAAAAUAAAUUGAAUAAUAGUUCCAAGUGGUUUACAUUUGGACAAAAAAUUAGACCGUAGUUAAAAGCUG
rnacentral:sRNA from 1 species